UGCCUGGGCAUGGAAGAGGGCUGUGGGAGGACACACCUGCCCAUCCCUCUGAGCUGUGUUUGGUGCUAAGCCGCAUGGAGCUGUCAUUUGGUUAAUGCUGUGCACUCACAAAUACUGCUGCUCUCUGUGCUGGAUUUAAUUUUGGGAGGAUUGAAAGGAAGUACCUUGGGAAGGAUUGUACGAGAAGAAGACAUAUAAACCUUUUUUCAUGACUCAACUUUGUUAUUUUCACAAAUGCAGAACACAUUUGGUCUGGCAUCCCAUUUGAUUUGUUUACUGCUUUUGUGUCCCACAUUUGCACAGGCUUUCCAAACAGAGAUACUUCUCUCAUCUGGCCUGUCUCUGUCUUCUGCACAGAAACCUCAGUAUAGCAUUUUCAUCCUCCUGGCUUUUGGACACACAGCGCCAGCUGUGAAUACUGGAUAUGUCUCUGAAGCAAAAGGGGUCAGUGGGAAUAUGAGGAUCUCCUGUGUUCCCACUACAUUGUAUCAGUCUUCAAAGCUGUGUUGUGCCACAUAACAACAGUUUGACCUCACUGUACCACAUCAUUUGAGGCCUGGAUGGAGUGUUUCCCAACUCUUCCCAGUUCCACAAAUCCCCUUUGCAGCAGAGGAGCUGUCAAGGUGUUGAGUUGCCCCUUUCUCCUCCAGCAGUGCUACAUCAGUGCUCAGGACAGUGAAGCUCCACAAGGCAUGGAAGAAAGAACAGCACAUUGGAUAAAGCCAGUCUGGGAUGCACUUGGGAUGUACCUAGAUGCUUUGGUGGUUGUUAUUACAGAAAAUCCAGACCUGUCUUCGCCUUUGUGCUAAAACUGGAGAUUCACACUGAGUGCUUUAUUCUGUGGCUUCACCAGAGUAUAUUCUUGUUCAAGCAUGGCACUGUGCUUAUUCUUCACUUCCAGUUUCACAGGAUCUUAUAAUCAACUAGGUUGGAAAAGACCUUUAAGAUCAUCAAAUCUAACAAUUACCCCAGAACUGCCAAGUCCACCACCAAACCAUGUCACUGAGGUUUCAAGACUGUAUUUGUAUUUGAAGCCAAUGGCAUUGUUUCAUGGAAAUACAGAAGUCCUUACCAACUAAGAAUAAGGCAGUCAUCAAAAAAAACUUCCACUCUGGUCAUAUUUCAAGAGAUUCAGUAGAGCCUAGGACAGCCUGACAGCACUGCAUCUCCUUGUUGAAGGCCCUGUAGCACAUAGAAAUACAAAAUUUAAGUGUUCAGAUUUUUGAGGUGAAAUUCUAUCCAAAUCAUUACAGUGCACAGAAAUGUGCAACCUCAACAGAAAGAGUUUCUCCAUCUGAAAUAAAAUAUUAGUGCUGCUGUUGAUGUAGCCAGUUUCCCCAAGCAAGCACCAUCAUCAGAUGGUCCUAAUUGAGUUCUGACACUCAGUCUAAUCAAUGUGUAUUAAAGAAAGAGCAAAAGAACUAGUUUUGGGAAAAUUACAUAUUUAAAAGAUUUGGUGUCAGCCACAGUGAUUUUACAUUAAGUGAAAGCUGCUGUUAGGAAAAAUAAAUGAGAAAAUCUCAAAUCUACUCAGCUCCAUUCGCUGCACAUUUUAAGAAGAGAAACCUUGUUGAUCAUAAAUACAUUAUUGUUUGUUAAAUGAGAGACCUGUAUAUUCCCUGGAUAUGUUAUUUUUAAUAAACCUUGCUUCUUAUACACAUAAACCUCAGGGAACAUUCAAAUUACUAUUUUACCUCUACAAAAUGUUCAUUUUCUGUUUUCCCCCAUCAAGAAUAACUUUGAAAAACUGUGUAGUACUUCAGACUUCUAUAAGCAGGUGAGGUUUUACUUGUAGAACCAAUGGCCAAAUGAUGGUUGGGUGGUCUAAAGUUUACUCAGCACCCACAUAUUAUAUGGUUUCCAGAACUUCUGUGGUUGAAUUUGAAUAUUUAACUUUUUUUCAUUCUGUGCAUUAAAUUGUUAUUUCAAAUUAUUGAGGCAGUAAUGGAAAACUGUUAGCUUCAGCAUGAUAUAAUAAUAUAAUGAAAGCCUGAAUUAUUUCUCUGACAUUUAA